AGUAGUGUCUGACUCAAUAAACACCGCUGAAUUUUUGAAUAAUAGCAGAAUAAAAAGGAAUGAAUGAUGCCUAUCAGAGACAACACAGUUCAAGAGAUGAACAAGCUGCCUAGAGGAGUGGGAAACCAGCCAGAUAUCCCCAUCCUGGUUUGACCAUGCCUCAUGGAAGGGACAUGACAUGGAAGACCACAAUAUGAAGGACUCUGAAAUAAUCAAAGCAAAUGGCAUCUUUUCCUGGAAGAAUAACAGCCCGGAAAAUGGGAGUCCUAUUCGACUUGGAGAGACCACCUCUGGGAAGUCAAAUGAACAGAGACUAUCGCCCUCACUCCGCAGAUGGAGAAACUGAGAUCCAGAGCCCUCAGCUCAGCAUCAUCUAAAAGAACAACCAUAUUCCUUGUGUCUAGCAGCAGCCUAGAGAUGCCCCAAGGCUGCAUCAUCCAAUGUGAAAGCCACCAGCCACACUAGGUUAUUGAGCGCCUGCAGUGUGGCAGGUCUGAAAUGAGAAUGGCUGUCAAUGUAAAAUACUUAUCAGAGUCCUGAAGACUUAGCUCAAAAAAAGAAUAUAAAAUAUCUCUUUAAUAAUUUUUUAUACAUAUUACAUGUUGAAAUGAUAUUAUUUUGGAUAUAUUGGGUUAAAUAAAAG
rnacentral:lncRNA from 10 species